AUGACCCUUUGUGCGGAACGACUGACACCUUUUGCGAGCACAAGCGUUCAUUCCAGCAAAAAAUUGCGGUACAAAUUGCAAAAAGUGCUUAUUCCGCUAGCGAUUGGAUAAAAGUCGGUUGCCAAGAGCCGCCCAACACGCAUAGACAGGCAGAAAGACAGACGCGCGUGCAAAAAGGGCUAAGUGUUGCUGAUUGCUAGCAGAAAUCCAGGACUCGAGGACACGUUCAGCCGGAAGUAGAGACGCCAGCAAGCAGCGACCAUGUCCGGCAUUGCUAUCACACGUCUGGGGGAGGAGCGCAAGGCCUGGAGGAAGGAUCACCCGUUCGGGUUCGUCGCCCGACCCGCCAAGAACCCCGACGGCACCCUCAACCUGAUGAUCUGGGAGUGCGCCAUUCCCGGCAAGAAGUCCACCCCCUGGGAGGGCGGUCUCUACAAGCUGCGCAUGAUCUUCAAGGACGACUACCCCACAUCGCCGCCCAAGUGCAAGUUCGAGCCGCCACUGUUCCACCCGAACGUCUAUCCCUCGGGCACCGUCUGCCUGUCGCUGCUGGACGAGGAGAAGGACUGGCGCCCCGCCAUCACCAUCAAGCAAAUCCUGCUGGGCAUCCAGGACCUGCUCAACGAGCCGAACAUCAAGGACCCGGCCCAGGCGGAGGCCUACACCAUCUACUGCCAGAAUCGACUGGAGUACGAGAAGCGGGUGCGCGCCCAGGCCCGCGCCAUGGCGGCCACCGAGUAGUCGGGCUCCUGCCAGUCACCUUCCCCACAUAGACAUUAACAAAUACACACACAUCUAGCCGCCCGAAGCGGCAGCGGCCCGAAGCAUAUACAUAAUUUUUUAAUGUUCUGCACUUGCAUAAUUACCAGCUUGUACCAUCUGCAUAAAUCCCAAUAAGUCCUGUAAUUCUAUGAUGAGCCCCAAAGUGGCUACGUGGCACCCAGAAGCCGACGCUCCCUUCCAUCUUCGAUUCUGGGUGCAUGUCCGAUUGUUCUACGGGCUAUUUUGUAUCGCAAGUACUACGUACAAACAUAUGUAAUUUCAAUAAAAAUGUAUUAGUUGUAAAA
rnacentral:misc_RNA from 1 species